rnacentral:rRNA from 1 species
UGGGCAACCUGCCCUCAGCUCUGGGAUAACCCCGGGAAACCGGGGCUAAUACCGGAUACGACCUCCGCGGGCAUCUGCGGAGGUGGAAAGGUUUCCGGCUGAGGAUGGGCCCGCGGCCUAUCAGCUAGUUGGUGGGGUAAUGGCCCACCAAGGCGACGACGGGUAGCCGGCCUGAGAGGGUGACCGGCCACACUGGGACUGAGACACGGCCCAGACUCCUACGGGAGGCA